rnacentral:rRNA from 1 species
GACGAACGCUGGUGGCGUGCUUAACACAUGCAAGUCGAACGGAAAGGCCCUGCUUUUGUGGGGUGCUCGAGUGGCGAACGGGUGAGUAACACGUGAGUAACCUGCCCUUGACUUUGGGAUAACUUCAGGAAACUGGGGCUAAUACCGGAUAGGAGCUCCUGCUGCAUGGUGGGGGUUGGAAAGUUUCGGCGGUUGGGGAUGGACUCGCGGCUUAUCAGCUUGUUGGUGGGGUAGUGGCUUACCAAGGCUUUGACGGGUAGCCGGCCUGAGAGGGUGACCGGCCACAUUGGGCCUGCGAUACGGCCCAGACUCCUACGGGAGGCAGCAGUGGGGAAUAUUGCACAAUGGGCGGACGCCUGAUGCAGCAACGCCGCGUGCGGGAUGACGGCCUUCGGGUUGUAAACCGCUUUCGCCUGUGACGAAGCGUGAGUGACGGUAAUGGGUAAAGAAGCACCGGCUAACUACGUG